CUGUGCUUGUUUCCAAAAAAGAUAAAAGAUAAAAUUCAUAUGUACAGGAGACGUUUGCACACAUGCACAGGAUUAAAUAAGAGGAGGGGUUUUUACUGCUCAACAAGACAAAUCACAUAGAGUUAUUGUGCUUUCCUUCAUGUAAUCAUUGUCAGACUCCCCACUAGCUCUACUACAUCAGCUCUUCCCCUCUGAGGCCUCCAGCCUAGAGUUUCCUUUAUAGUAGUCCGACAUGCAAAUGGGGUGUCCACCAGACGAUAAAAUCAGACCCCACAGUUCUGGGGGACCAGCCCAGCCUGGAUUCCAGUGAUCCCAUUCAGUGGUCAGCUCAGAAACAGACAAGUCUCCAUGUUGUUGAAGCUGAGAUGGGUUUUCCUUGUGGCUCUUCUACAAGGUGUGCAGUGUGAGGUGCAGCUGGUGGAGUCUGGGGGAGGCUUGGUGCAGCCUGGGGGGUCCCUCAGACUCUCCUGUGUGGCCUCCGGAUUCACCUUCAGUAGCUAUGGCAUGAACUGGGUCCGCCAGGCUCCAGGGAAGGGGCUGGAGUGGCUCUCAUACAUCUAUGGUAAGAGUAGCACAUACUACGCAGACUCUGUGAAGGGCCGCUUCACCACCUCCAGAGACAACAGCAAGAACACACUUUACUUGCCGAUGAACAGCCUGAGAGUGGAGGACCAGGCCGUCUAUUACUGUGCUAGAGACACAGUGCAGGAAAUCCAGUAUGUCCUGUCCCAGCAGCUGCAGGAGUCACAGGCUGGCCUGGCAAAGCCCGUACGCAGUCGCUGUCCCCUGCCUGAUGGAGCCGGGUCCCACAGCCCCAGGGAAGCUGAUGGGAAGGACAGGAGACAUCUUCAACUGCAGCCGUCUCUCAGGAGUCGAGUCACAGUGUCUGAGGACACAGCCAAGAACCAGAUGUCCAUGAGCUGA